GUGUCAGCAGCCGCGGUAAUACGUAGGGGGUUAGCGUUGUCCGGAUUUACUGGGUAUAAAGGGCGCGUAGGCGGGUUUGUAAGUCAGUGGUGAAAUCCUACAGCUUAACUGUAGAACUGCCUUUGAUACUGCAAAUCUUGAGUUCAGAAGAGAGAGAUGGAAUUCCAGGUGUAGUGGUGAAAUACGUAGAUAUCUGGAAGAACACCAGUGGCGAAGGCGAUCUCUUGGUCUGUAACUGACGCUGAGGCGCGAAAGCGUGGGUAGCAAACAGGAUUAGAAACCCCCGUAGUCC
rnacentral:rRNA from 1 species